CUUCAAUUUGGGGGUGAGAUUCAGGAACUAUAGAAUGUCUUCUCUAAGAAUUUGUUAUCUGUGUAUAAAAUAAAGACCUAGGAAUUGUAGGUUUAAAGAAAGGUUUGUUUCUCUGCUUGAGGCCUAAAAGCUAGUUCUUCAUAUCCAGUUCACCAAUGUUGAAAGGCUAAGAGUUUUAACCUGAUCUUUUUUUUUUUUUUUAAUUUUAG